UUUAUGGAGAGUUUGAUCCUGGCUCAGGAUGAACGCUGGCGGCGUGCCUAAUACAUGCAAGUCGAGCGAACGGACGAGAAGCUUGCUUCUCUGAUGUUAGCGGCGGACGGGUGAGUAACACGUGGAUAACCUACCUAUAAGACUGGGAUAACUUCGGGAAACCGGAGCUAAUACCGGAUAAUAUUUUGAACCGCAUGGUUCAAAAGUGAAAGACGGUCUUGCUGUCACUUAUAGAUGGAUCCGCGCUGCAUUAGCUAGUUGGUAAGGUAACGGCUUACCAAGGCAACGAUGCAUAGCCGACCUGAGAGGGUGAUCGGCCACACUGGAACUGAGACACGGUCCAGACUCCUACGGGAGGCAGCAGUAGGGAAUCUUCCGCAAUGGGCGAAAGCCUGACGGAGCAACGCCGCGUGAGUGAUGAAGGUCUUCGGAUCGUAAAACUCUGUUAUUAGGGAAGAACAUAUGUGUAAGUAACUGUGCACAUCUUGACGGUACCUAAUCAGAAAGCCACGGCUAACUACGUGCCAGCAGCCGCGGUAAUACGUAGGUGGCAAGCGUUAUCCGGAAUUAUUGGGCGUAAAGCGCGCGUAGGCGGUUUUUUAAGUCUGAUGUGAAAGCCCACGGCUCAACCGUGGAGGGUCAUUGGAAACUGGAAAACUUGAGUGCAGAAGAGGAAAGUGGAAUUCCAUGUGUAGCGGUGAAAUGCGCAGAGAUAUGGAGGAACACCAGUGGCGAAGGCGACUUUCUGGUCUGUAACUGACGCUGAUGUGCGAAAGCGUGGGGAUCAAACAGGAUUAGAUACCCUGGUAGUCCACGCCGUAAACGAUGAGUGCUAAGUGUUAGGGGGUUUCCGCCCCUUAGUGCUGCAGCUAACGCAUUAAGCACUCCGCCUGGGGAGUACGACCGCAAGGUUGAAACUCAAAGGAAUUGACGGGGACCCGCACAAGCGGUGGAGCAUGUGGUUUAAUUCGAAGCAACGCGAAGAACCUUACCAAAUCUUGACAUCCUUUGACAACUCUAGAGAUAGAGCCUUCCCCUUCGGGGGACAAAGUGACAGGUGGUGCAUGGUUGUCGUCAGCUCGUGUCGUGAGAUGUUGGGUUAAGUCCCGCAACGAGCGCAACCCUUAAGCUUAGUUGCCAUCAUUAAGUUGGGCACUCUAAGUUGACUGCCGGUGACAAACCGGAGGAAGGUGGGGA
rnacentral:rRNA from 1 species